rnacentral:rRNA from 1 species
GUGGGAUCCCGGGCUCUCCCGAGUGCCCCGGGCGCACCACCGGCCCGUCUCGCCCGCAGCGUCGGGGAGGUGGAGCUUGAGCGCGUGCNACGGGACCCGAAAGAUGGUGAACUAUGCCUGGGCAGGGU